CUGCCAUAUCAUGUUGAAACACCAGUUCUUGUAUGAUCACUGAAGUUAAGCAAUGUAAAUCCUGCUCAGUACCUAGAUGGGUGACUGCUUGGGAAUACCAGGUGCAGUCUG